AGGGUUUGAUCAUGGCUCAGAACGUACGCUGGCGGCACGCCUAACACAUGCAAGUCGAACGAAGUAGCAAUACUUAGUGGCAGACGGGUGAGUAACAUGUGGGUAUCUGCCCUUUGGCCUGGAAUAACACGAGGAAACUUGUGCUAAUACCGGAUAAGUCUUUACAGAGAAAGCUUUAUGCACCAUUGGAUGAGCCCGCACUUGAUUAGUUUGUUGGUGGGGUAAUGGCCUACCAAGACUUUGAUCAAUAGCUGAUUUGAGAGGAUGAUCAGCCACGUUGGGACUGAGACACGGCCCAAACUCCUACGGGAGGCAGCAGUGGGGAAUCUUGCACAAUGGAGGAAACUCUGAUGCAGCGAUGCCGCGUGAGUGAAGAAGGCCUUUGGGUUGUAAAGCUCUUUCGUCGGGGAAGAAAAUGACUGUACCCGAAUAAGAAGGUCCGGCUAACUUCGUGCCAGCAGCCGCGGUAAUACGAAGGGACCUAGCGUAGUUCGGAAUUACUGGGCUUAAAGAGUUCGUAGGUGGUUGAAAAAGUUGGUGGUGAAAUCCCAGAGCUUAACUCUGGAACUGCCAUCAAAACUUUUCAGCUAGAGUUUGAUAGAGGAAAGCAGAAUUUCUAGUGUAGAGGUGAAAUUCGUAGAUAUUAGAAAGAAUACCAAUUGCGAAGGCAGCUUUCUGGAUCAUUACUGACACUGAGGAACGAAAGCAUGGGUAGCGAAGAGGAUUAGAUACCCUCGUAGUCCAUGCCGUAAACGAUGUGUGUUAGACGUUGGAAAUUUAUUUUCAGUGUCGCAGCGAAAGCGAUAAACACACCGCCUGGGGAGUACGACCGCAAGGUUAAAACUCAAAUGAAUUGACGGGGACCCGCACAAGUAGUGGAGCAUGUGGUUUAAUUCGAAGAUACGCGCAGAACCUUACCAACACUUGACAUGUUCGUCGCGACUUUAAGAGAUUAAAGUUUUCGGUUCGGCCGGACGAAACACAGGUGCUGCAUGGCUGUCGUCAGCUCGUGUCGUGAGAUGUUGGGUUAAGUCCCGCAACGAGCGCAACCCUCACUUUUAGUUGCCAUCAUUAAGUUGGGCACUCUGAAAGAACUGCCAGUGAUAAGCUGGAGGAAGGUGGGGAUGACGUCAAGUCCUCAUGGCCCUUACGUGUUGGGCUACACACGUGCUACAAUGGUAUCUACAACAGGAAGCAAAACAGCGAUGUUAAGCAAAUCCUUAAAAGAUACCUCAGUUCGGAUUGCACUCUGCAACUCGAGUGCAUGAAGCUGGAAUUACUAGUAAUCGUGGAUCAGCGUGCCACGGUGAAUGCGUUCCCGGGUCUUGUACACACCGCCCGUCACACCAUGGGAGUUGGUUCUACCUUAAGGCAAGGUUUAAUACCCUUGACCACGGUAUAGUCAGCGACUGGGGUGAAGUCGUAACAAGGUAGCCGUA
rnacentral:rRNA from 1 species